rnacentral:lncRNA from 1 species
UUGGUUUAAUCAUAAGGAGAGAUAAUGGUGGUGAGAAGCGUCUUCCAUCUCCAUAACUAAUCUAUUGAAUCAACCCAAAGGAAAUUAAGUGUCAAUGGUCAAUCCCAACAACUAAAGUGGAUCCAAUUCUUCAACUAGAUCUUUCUUAUUAUUUAUUUCUCUUUAUUUUUAUUAUUUGCCUUAUUUUUAUUGCUUUCAGUUUUAGAUUAAUUAAAUCAAUUUCAAAACCCCCCCAUUUUACUUACAGUUUAGUUGGUUUCAGUUUUAUCUUGUUUUAGUUUAUUUUGCUUUCCGUUUAUUUUUCUUUCAGUUUUAUUCCACUUUCAAUUUUUGACUCACGGUUGUCGAAGCCAGUCAAAAAUAACCUUCCUGGUUAUUAACAAUUUUAUAACUGCAGAUAGUGAUGAAAGGAUCGAAUCCACAGAGAAUUGAUUACCUAUUUAUUUUUUUCUCAACAAGACCAAUAAAAUGAACUGAAACAAUAAUAAAUUAAAGAUGAGAUAAAAGACUGAAAGUGGGAUCAAAAGAGAUAAACUGGAAGCAGAAUAAAAAUAAAUUGCAAUAAAAGUAAAAUGGGGGGGGGGGUUUGAGAUUGAUUGUAGUAACUAAUAAUGAGAGUAAUAAUAGAAAGCAAAUAAUUAAAAUAAAAGAGGAAAUCAAUAUGAGAGAAGUCUAGUUGAAGAUAUGGAUCCACUUUGGUUGUUUGGGUUGAUCAUUGAAACUUAAAUUAUCUUGAUUGGUUCAAUAGAUUAGUUAUGGGGGUGGAAGACGCUUCUCACCACCAUGUCUCUCCUUAUGAUUAAAUUAAUUAGGGAAUGUCCUCUAAUUAAUUACUAAUUAACGAAUUGCCAAGGAACGUCCUUGGGCCAUAGGCAUCAAAACAAUUGUCAAUUGCAUAAAGAAAUAGAGAGAUCCAAUCCUAGCUACCCAAACGUANN